rnacentral:rRNA from 1 species
CCUGAUGCAGCGACGCCGCGUGAGGGAUGACGGCCUUCGGGUUGUAAACCUCUUUCAGCACAGACGAAGCGCAAGUGACGGUAUGUGCAGAAGAAGGACCGGCCAACUACGUGCCAGCAGCCGCGGUAAUACGUAGGGUCCGAGCGUUGUCCGGAAUUACUGGGCGUAAAGAGCUCGUAGGUGGUUUGUCGCGUUGUUCGUGAAAACUCACAGCUUAACUGUGGGCGUGCGGGCGAUACGGGCAGACUUGAGUACUGCAGGGGAGACUGGAAUUCCUGGUGUAGCGGUGGAAUGCGCAGAUAUCAGGAGGAACACCGGUGGCGAAGGCGGGUCUCUGGGCAGUAACUGACGCUGAGGAGCGAAAGCGUGGGGAGCGAACAGGAUUAGAUACCCUGGUAGUCCACGCCGUAAACGGUGGGUACUAGGUGUGGGUUUCCUUCCUUGGGAUCCGUGCCGUAGCUAACGCAUUAAGUACCCCGCCUGGGGAGUACGGCCGCAAGGCUAAAACUCAAAGAAAUUGACGGGGGCCCGCACAAGCGGCGGAGCAUGUGGAUUAAUUCGAUGCAACGCGAAGAACCUUACCUGGGUUUGACAUGCACAGGACGCUGGUAGAGAUAUCAGUUCCCUUGUGGCCU